UGGGGGAUAUUGCACAAUGGGCGAAAGCCUGAUGCAGCGACGCCGCGUGGGGGAUGAAGGCCUUCGGGUUGUAAACUUCUUUUGCUCUGAACAAGGCAUGCUAAUGGGUGUGUUGAGUGUAGGGGUUGAUUAGCGCCGGCUAACUACGUGCCAGCAGCCGCGGUAAUACGUAGGGCGCGAGCGUUGUCCGGAAUUAUUGGGCGUAAAGGGCUUGUAGGUGGCUGGUUGCGUCUGUCGUGAAAGCUCAUGGCUUAACUGUGGGUUUGCGGUGGGUACGGGCUGGCUUGAGUGCAGUAGGGGAGGCUGGAAUUCCUGGUGUAGCGGUGGAAUGCGCAGAUAUCAGGAGGAAUACCGGUGGCUAAGGCGGGUCUCUGGGCUGUUACUGACACUGAGGAGCGAAAGCAUGGGGAGCGAACAGG
rnacentral:rRNA from 1 species